rfam:Felis catus isolate Cinnamon breed Abyssinian chromosome C2, whole genome shotgun sequence.
GCCUGGGUGGCUCAUUCGGUUAAAGCGUCUGACUUCGGCUCAGGUCAUGAUCUCGCGGUUCGUGAGUUCAAGCCCCGCGUCGGGCU